rnacentral:rRNA from 1 species
AAUGAACGCUGGCGGCAGGCCUAAAACAUGCAAGUCGAACGCCCUAGCAAUAGGGAGUGGCGCACGGGUGAGUAACACGUGGGAAUAUGCCUUUUGGUACGGAACAACGUCUGGAAACGGACGCUAAUGCCGUAUGGUCCCUUCGGGGUAAAGAUUUAUCGCCAAAAGAUUAGCCCGCGUCUGAUUAGCUAGUUGGUGAGGUAAUGGCUCACCAAGGCAACGAUCAGUAGCUGGUCUGAGAGGACGAUCAGCCACACUGGGACUGAGACACGGCCCAGACUCCUACGGGAGGCAGCAGUUAGGAAUAUUGGACAAUGGACGCAAGUCUGAUCCAGCCAUGCCGCGUGAGUGAUGAAGGCCUUCGGGUUGUAAAGCUCUUUAGUCCACGAUUAUAAUGACUGUAGUGGAAGAAUAAGCCCCGGCUAACUUCGUGCCAGCCGCCGCCGUAAGAC